UACGAAGGGGGCUAGCGUUGUUCGGAUUUACUGGGCGUAAAGCGCACGUAGGCGGAUCGUUAAGUCAGGGGUGAAAUCCUGGAGCUCAACUCCAGAACUGCCUUUGAUACUGGCGAUCUUGAGUCCGGAAGAGGUGAGUGGAACUCCUAGUGUAGAGGUGAAAUUCGUAGAUAUUGGGAAGAACACCAGUGGCGAAGGCGGCUAACUGGUCCGGUACUGACGCUGAGGUGCGAAAGCGUGGGGAGCAAACAGG
rnacentral:rRNA from 1 species